UUUUAGGAAAACAUUUUUUUUCAUCAUUUACCAUUUUCAAUGAAUUAAUGUAAUUUUGUGCCAUUUUUGUUGUUGUAGUAAUCAGUUUGACUUGCAGCAGCCAUAAAAAAAAUGCUUUAAAUGUUUGUUAUAUUUCCCCGAAUAUUAUUCAUGUCUGAACCACUUUGCCGAAAUCUCUGGGGACUUGAACUGCGACAUUAUGCUCUUUAGCAAUGUCCGAGUUAGGCGGGACAUGGCAGUUACCAUGGUAACGCCCUCCCCAUUCAGGGUGUGGAAGGUCAUCUUGUGGACACAGAUAAAGGUUCAAGUGUGAGGGCCCCAGACGGAGCUGUACACCAGUUAAAGUCUCUACCAGUCUGGCAGAAACCCCGGGUAUCCUUCAGAAGCGUCGCGCGGAUCGGAUGUUCUGAGACGCGAGAGAGGAUUUCUCCAGUGGCAUCAAAUUCUAAGUUGUAUCCAUUUUUAUGCACUAACAUUUACAUUUACACACUGACAUUUUAUUUCAUCUUUGGCCACACGUUGGUUUUGUUUGAAGGAAGUGUAUACAUUUCUUUUUCACUAUUUUUCCUGACUCAAAUAAGUUCCCAGAUUAUUCAUGUCCGAUUCUCCUACAGUACAGAAAUAAAUAGUAAAUGAUCUUAAACGGUUGCCUCCACUGUGAGACAUCAUUUGCUCGUGUGAACACACGAGCCGUUGACCCUUGUUGUAGUUCUAGGAUGAGCGCUGGUAGUGG
ensembl:lncRNA